CAGAAGGUCUAAAAGCCUGAAACCAUUGUGAACCUCUCUCUUAGCUGCCUCGGUGGGCAAUCCCAGGGCGGGAUUCCGGGCCCCUUUGGGGCGUCCGCCGGCGGCGCACCUCUCUAGCUCUGUCUGCGGCGGGCUUCUGAGUGGCUGGAAGAAAAGUCA
rnacentral:misc_RNA from 1 species